rnacentral:tRNA from 1 species
AAGAAAGUGGCAGAGUGGUAAUGUGCUUGGCUUGAAACCAAGUUACGGGGGUUCGAUUCCCUCCUUUCUCG